GUCUCGGUAGUUCAGUUGGUAGAGCGGCGGGUUAGUAUCCCGGAGUCGCAAGUUCGAGUCUCGUCCGAGACA